rnacentral:rRNA from 1 species
CAUGCAGUCGAGCGGACAGAUGGGAGCUUGCUCCCUGAUGUUAGCGGCGGACGGGUGAGUAACACGUGGGUAACCUGCCUGUAAGACUGGGAUAACUCCGGGAAACCGGGGCUAAUACCGGAUGCUUGUUUGAACCGCAUGGUUCAAACAUAAAAGGUGGCUUCGGCUACCACUUACAGAUGGACCCGCGGCGCAUUAGCUAGUUGGUGAGGUAAUGGCUCACCGAGGCGACGAUGCGUAGCCGACCUGAGAGGGUGAUCGGCCACACUGGGACUGANACACGGCCCCUACUCCUACGGGAGGCAGCAGUAGGGAAUCUUCCGCAAUGGACGAAAGUCUGACGGAGCAACGCCGCGUGAGUGAUGAAGGUUUUCGGAUCGUAAAGCUCUGUUGUUAGGGAAGAACAAGUACCGUUCGAAUAGGGCGGUACCUUGACGGUACCUAACCAGAAAGCCACGGCUAACUACGUGCCAGCAGCCGCGGUAAUACGUAGGUGGCAAGCGUUGUCCGGAAUUAUUGGGCGUAAAGGGCUCGCAGGCGGUUUCUUAAGUCUGAUGUGAAAGCCCCCGGCUCAACCGGGGAGGGUCAUUGGAAACUGGGGAACUUGAGUGCAGAAGAGGAGAGUGGAAUUCCACGUGUAGCGGUGAAAUGCGUAUAGAUGUGGAAGAACACCAGUGGCGAAGGCGACUCUCUGGUCUGUAACUGACGCUGAGGAGCGAAAGCGUGAGGAGCGAACAGGAUUAGAUACUCUGGUAGUCCACGCCGUAAACGAUGAGUGCUAAGUGUUAUGGGGUUUCCGCCCCUUAGUGCUGCAGCUAACGCAUUAAGCACUCCGCCUGGGGAGUACGUGUCGCAAGACUGAAACUCAAAGGAAUUUGACAGGGGCUGAAACUCAAAGGAAUUGACGGGGGCCCGCACAAGCGGUGGAGCAUGUGGUUUAAUUCGAAGCAACGCGAAGAACCUUACCAGGUCUUGACAUCCUCUGACAAUCCUAGAGAUAGGACGUCCCCUUCGGGGGCAGAGUGACAGGUGGUGCAUGGUUGUCGUCAGCUCGUGUCGUGAGAUGUUGGGUUAAGUCCCGCAACGAGCGCAACCCUUGAUCUUAGUUGCCAGCAUUCAGUUGGGCACUCUAAGGUGACUGCCGGUGACAAACCGGAGGAAGGUGGGGAUGACGUCAAAUCAUCAUGCCCCUUAUGACCUGGGCUACACACGUGCUACAAUGGACAGAACAAAGGGCAGCGAAACCGCGAGGUUAAGCCAAUCCCACAAAUCUGUUCUCAGUUCGGAUCGCAGUCUGCAACUCGACUGCGUGAAGCUGGAAUCGCUAGUAAUCGCGGAUCAGCAUGCCGCGGUGAAUACGUUCCCGGGCCUUGUACACACCGCCCGUCACACCACGAGAGUUUGUAACACCCGAAGUCGGUGAGGUACCCUUUUAGGGGCCCAGCCGC